UAGAUCGUUCUUUAAAAAUUUGGGUAUGUGAUAGAAAGAUAGACUGAACGUUACUUUCACUGGUAACGGAUCAGGCUAAGGUAAAAUUUGUGAGUUGCUCUUUGAGCAAGAAUCGAAUUUUCGGCGAAUGUCGUCUUCACAGUAUAACCAGAUUGCUUGGGGUUAUAUGGUCAAGUGAAGAAGCGCAUACGGUGGAUGCCUUGGCAGUCAGAGGCGAUGAAAGACGUGGUAGCCUGCGAAAAGCUUCGGGGAGUCGGCAAACAGACUUUGAUCCGGAGAUGUCUGAAUGGGGGAACCCAGCCAUCAUAAGAUGGUUAUCUUAAGCUGAAUACAUAGGCUUAAGAGGCGAACCAGGGGAACUGAAACAUCUAAGUACCCUGAGGAAAAGAAAUCAACCGAGAUUCCCUUAGUAGUGGCGAGCGAACGGGGACUAGCCCUUAAGUGGCUUUGAGAUUAGCGGAACGUUCUGGAAAGUACGGCCAUAGUGGGUGAUAGCCCUGUACGCGAAAAUCUCUUAGUCAUGAAAUCGAGUAGGACGGAGCACGAGAAACUUUGUCUGAAUAUGGGGGGACCAUCCUCCAAGGCUAAAUACUACUGACUGACCGAUAGUGAACUAGUACCGUGAGGGAAAGGCGAAAAGAACCCCGGAGAGGGGAGUGAAAUAGAUCCUGAAACCGUAUGCGUACAAGCAGUGGGAGCCCACUUUGUUGGGUGACUGCGUACCUUUUGUAUAAUGGGUCAGCGACUUAUUUUCAGUGGCGAGCUUAACCGAAUAGGGGAGGCGUAGCGAAAGCGAGUCUUAAUAGGGCGUCUAGUCGCUGGGAAUAGACCCGAAACCGGGCGAUCUAUCCAUGGGCAGGUUGAAGGUUGGGUAACACUAACUGGAGGACCGAACCGACUACCGUUGAAAAGUUAGCGGAUGACCUGUGGAUCGGAGUGAAAGGCUAAUCAAGCUCGGAGAUAGCUGGUUCUCCUCGAAAGCUAUUUAGGUAGCGCCUCAUGUAUCACUGUAGGGGGUAGAGCACUGUUUCGGCUAGGGGGUCAUCCCGACUUACCAAACCGAUGCAAACUCCGAAUACCUACAAGUGCCGAGCAUGGGAGACACACGGCGGGUGCUAACGUCCGUCGUGAAAAGGGAAACAACCCAGACCGUCAGCUAAGGUCCCAAAGUUAUGGUUAAGUGGGAAACGAUGUGGGAAGGCUUAGACAGCUAGGAGGUUGGCUUAGAAGCAGCCACCCUUUAAAGAAAGCGUAAUAGCUCACUAGUCGAGUCGGCCUGCGCGGAAGAUGUAACGGGGCUCAAACCAUACACCGAAGCUACGGGUAUCACUUAGGUGAUGCGGUAGAGGAGCGUUCUGUAAGCCUGUGAAGGUGAGUUGAGAAGCUUGCUGGAGGUAUCAGAAGUGCGAAUGCUGACAUGAGUAACGACAAUGGGUGUGAAAAACACCCACGCCGAAAGACCAAGGUUUCCUGCGCAACGUUAAUCGACGCAGGGUUAGUCGGUCCCUAAGGCGAGGCUGAAAAGCGUAGUCGAUGGAAAACAGGUUAAUAUUCCUGUACUUCUGGUUAUUGCGAUGGAGGGACGGAGAAGGCUAGGCCAGCUUGGCGUUGGUUGUCCAAGUUUAAGGUGGUAGGCUGGAAUCUUAGGUAAAUCCGGGAUUCC
rnacentral:rRNA from 1 species